rnacentral:tRNA from 1 species
GGAGGUAUAGCUCAACGGUAGAGUGUGCACUUAGCAUGCACAAGGUCCUGGGUUCAAUCCCCAGUGCCUCCC